UAGAGGUGGGAGAGGUGAGCCACGGAGAGAGCCACGGACAGAGGUGAAUUAGGGACAGAGGUGAGUCACGAACGGAACUGAUUCACGGACGGAGCUGAAUCACGGACGGGGAACAAGAACAGACGACAGGCGGCAAGCAACGGAGUAACGGGAUCUCUCUCUCUCUCUCUCUCUCUCUCUCUCUCUCUCUCUCUCUCUCUCUCUCUCUCUCUCUCUCUCUCUCUCUCUCUUUCUCUCUGCCUCAGGGAGCCGACUGCUGCAGGAUGCGCCAGGAUCCUCACGCCCUCCACUCACCUGACUCUCGGCGAGGGACAUGAAGUACACCUUUUCACACUUCUUGUUGCUGUUGUAAGGAAUGGGCGCCCUCUGCAGGAUCUUAGAUUGCGUGACGUUCUCCGUUGCGCCCCAG